rnacentral:rRNA from 1 species
AACGAACGCUGGCGGCGUGCGUAACACAUGCAAGUCGAACGAGAAGUACGUAGCAAUACGUAUUGUAAAGUGGCGCACGGGUGAGUAACACGUGGGUAAUCUGCCCUCGAGUUUGGGAUAACCCCGCGAAAGCGGGGCUAAUACCGAAUAAGACCACGGGGACCAAAGUCUCCGGGGUAAAAGGUGGCCUCUAUUUAUAAGCUACCACUUGAGGAUGAGCCCGCGGCCCAUUAGGUAGUUGGCAGGGUAACGGCCUACCAAGGCGAUGAUGGGUAGCUGGUCUGAGAGGACGAUCAGCCACACUGGAACUGAGACACGGUACAGACUCCUACGGGAGGCAGCAGUGGGGAAUAUUGCGCAAUGGGCGAAAGCCUGACGCAGCAACGCCGCGUGGGGGAUGAAGGUUUUCGGAUUGUAAACCCCUUUCGACCGGAACGAAUCUCCUCCUGGUAAAUAAUCAGGAGGAUCGACGGUACCGGGAGAAGAAGCCACGGCUAACUCUGUGCCAGCCGCCGCAGUAAAAC